rnacentral:rRNA from 1 species
GAUGAACGCUGGCGGCGUGCCUAAUACAUGCAAGUCGAGCGAACAGACGAGGAGCUUGCUCCUCUGACGUUAGCGGCGGACGGGUGAGUAACACGUGGAUAACCUACCUAUAAGACUGGGAUAACUUCGGGAAACCGGAGCUAAUACCGGAUAAUAUAUUGAACCGCAUGGUUCAAUAGUGAAAGACGGUUUUGCUGUCACUUAUAGAUGGAUCCGCGCCGCAUUAGCUAGUUGGUAAGGUAACGGCUUACCAAGGCAACGAUGCGUAGCCGACCUGAGAGGGUGAUCGGCCACCCUGGAACUGAGACACGGUCCAGACGCCUAAGGGAGGCAGCAGUAGGGAAUCGGCCGCAAUGGGCGAAAGCCUGACGGAGCAACGCCGCGUGAGUGAUGAAGGUCUUCGGAUCGUAAAACUCUGUUAUUAGGGAAGAACAAAUGUGUAAGUAACUAUGCACGUCUUGACGGUACCUAAUCAGAAAGCCACGGCUAACUACGUG